rnacentral:rRNA from 1 species
GACGAACGCUGGCGGCGUGCUUAACACAUGCAAGUCGGACGGAAAGGCCCUGCUUUUGUGGGGUGCUCGAGUGGCGAACGGGUGAGUAACACGUGAGUAACCUGCCCUUGACUUUGGGAUAACUUCAGGAAACUGGGGCUAAUACCGGAUAGGAGCUCCUGCUGCAUGGUGGGGGUUGGAAAGUUUCGGCGGUUGGGGAUGGACUCGCGGCUUAUCAGCUUGUUGGUGGGGUAGUGGCUUACCAAGGCUUUGACGGGUAGCCGGCCUGAGAGGGUGACCGGCCACAUUGGGACUGAGAUACGGCCCAGACUCCUACGGGAGGCAGCAGUGGGGAAUAGUGCACAAUGGGCGGAAGCCUGAUGCAGCAACGCCGCGUGCGGGAUGACGGCCUUCGGGUUGUAAACCGCUUUCGCCUGUGACGAAGCGUGAGUGACGGUAAUGGGUAAAGAAGCACCGGCUAACUACGUG